rnacentral:rRNA from 1 species
GACUUAUUCGGGUAGCUUGCUAUUUGGAUAAGUUAGCGGCGGACGGGUGAGUAACACGUGGGUAAUCUGCCUCGUAGACUGGGAUAACAGGCCGAAAGGUUUGCUAAUACCGGAUGAGUUCAUGUUAUUGCAUAGUGACAUGAAGAAAGGGGAAACCCGCUAUGAGAUGAGCCCGCGCCCCAUUAGCUAGUUGGUAGGGUAAAAGCCUACCAAGGCGACGAUGGGUAGCCGGCCUGAGAGGGUGGACGGCCACACUGGGACUGAGACACGGCCCAGACUCCUACGGGGGGCAGCAGUAGGGAAUUUUCGGCAAUGGGCGAAAGCCUGACCGAGCGACGCCGCGUGAGGGACGAAGGCCUUCGGGUUGUAAACCUCUGUCUGGGGGGACGAGAACGGACGGUACCCCCGGAGGAAGCCCCGGCUAACUACGUGCCAGCAGCCGCGGUAAUACGUAGGGGGCGAGCGUUGUCCGGAAUUACUGGGCGUAAAGGGCGCGCAGGCGGUCAUGCAAGUCGGUUGUGAAAGUCUAGGGCUUAACUCUAGGAUGCCGGCCGAAACUGUAUGGCUUGAGGGCAAGAGAGGGAGGCGGAAUUCCCGGUGUAGCGGUGAA